rnacentral:lncRNA from 1 species
GGCAUCUCACUGCACUCCAGAAUUUGGACAUCGACAACUGCUCCCAGCUGGCAGUGCUGCCGGAUGGCCUGGGGCAUCUCACUGCACUCCAAAAUCUGCGCAUCCUCAACUGCCCCCAGCUGGCAGUGCUGCCAGAUGGCCUGGGGCACCUCACUGCACUCCAGAAUCUGCGCAUCGGCAACUGCCUCCGGUUGGCAGUGCUGCCAGAUGGCCUCGGGCACCUCACUGCACUCCAGAAUCUGGAAAUCCACAACUGCCCCCAGCUGGCAGUGCUGCCAGAUGGCCUGCAAAACCUCACUGCACUUCAGAAUCUGGACAUCGUCGACUGCCCCCAGGUGGCGAGGACUGGCACAAGAUUGCUUACAUCCCAAACAUCUCGAUCCAGGUGAAAGAAGAUGGAGAACAAAGCAGCAAGCCAUCAUCUACCUUCACAACGAAAUUUCUUAGUCAAUUUGGUUGUGCACGUUGCCCAGGCUAUAGCUGAGGUGCCAUCUAAUUUGGGUGCGUCACCUUCUCCUUUUGGCUCUCCUUUCUUUGUUUUCUUAUUUAUUUUUUUUUUUUGCACUCAAUGUUUGUUCUCAAACAACGGUAUCUGGCACAAGGGAGAGAAGUGGAAUGUAUUUUUUCUUUGGAUUAUAUUAGUUUUCUCUCUUUCUAGAAAAGAACGUUAAGAUUUGUCCGCCGUCUUUUUUCUCGUAUAUUGACUUAAUAAUUUAUUAAAUUUCUCUAUCCUUAGAUUCUCAUCUAUCACUGAGAAUCUUUACAUAAUCAGAAAUAAUUAAAUUGAGUUGUACCUUAUUUGUUACUUCUCGUUCUUUAUUAUUUAUUUUUUAUGUGCAAAUUUAAUUUAAAAUACAUAUUUUAAGUUUCAAUAUGACUGUUAGCAUGCUACUGAAAAAUUGUUAGAUUCAUCCAAAUAUAUACCAGCUGGAUUGCUUUCUUAUUCUCAUAUAUUUUACCAUUCUAUAUGAAAUCUAUGUGAGUGAUUGGAAAGAUUCAUGUACUUUUACUCCAUCAUGGAAUCUCCAAUUUAGUUUUCUCCUUUGUUUGUCUAUGGACAGGUCUUCCUAGGCUGCUGCUUUGGUUCGAGAAACUCAGCUGUCAUCAACUUUAAGGACCUUGGGGAUCAUGCCAAUCCACCUUCAAAGCCUCACAUAUCUCCAAAGCCUGCAAAUCUUUUAUUGCCUCUGGAGAGAUGAUGUCAAAAUGGUGGAGUCAGAAAUUAGUACCAGUGCUUGCUUUCCAUUCCUAAACAAAAGAUAUCCACGUUUGCUUCUGUUUCUAUUUAUUUGGUCUUUUGUCUUGUGCUGCUUAUUGUCAUUACUAUGAAUAAUGUCACAUUUUCUUUUUUUGCCUCUUCUACUUUUUAUUUUUAAAAUGCAGCAGGGUUCUGUUUGUAUAUAUCACUCAAAUUAUACUGUCGCUACGCCAUGUAAGAUUUUUGA